UACGUAGGGGGCAAGCGUUGUCCGGAAUCAUUGGGCGUAAAGAGCGUGUAGGCGGCCCGAUAAGUCCGCUGUGAAAGUCCAGGGCUCAACCCUGGAAUGCCGGUGGAUACUGUCGGGCUCGAAUCCGGAAGAGGUGAGUGGAAUUCCUGGUGUAGCGGUGAAAUGCGCAGAUAUCAGGAGGAACACCAAUGGCGAAGGCGGCUCACUGGUCCGGUACUGACGCUGAGGUGCGAAAGCGUGGGGAGCAAACAGG
rnacentral:rRNA from 1 species